UCCGGGGGGGGGACCUCUAGAGAUUAGAGUUUGAUCCUGGCUCAGAUUGAACGCUGGCGGCAGGCCUAACACAUGCAAGUCGAGCGGCAGCACGGGAAGCUUGCUUCCUGGUGGCGAGCGGCGGACGGGUGAGUAAUGCAUAGAAAUCUGCCCGGUAGUGGGGGAUAACCUGGGGAAACCCAGGCUAAUACCGCAUACGUCCUACGGGAGAAAGCAGGGGAUCUUCGGACCUUGCGCUAUCGGAUGAGUCUAUGUCGGAUUAGCUUGUUAGUGAGGUAAUGGCUCACCAAGGCGACGAUCCGUAGCUGGUCUGAGAGGAUGAUCAGCCACAUCGGGACUGAGACACGGCCCGAACUCCUACGGGAGGCAGCAGUGGGGAAUAUUGGACAAUGGGCGAAAGCCUGAUCCAGCCAUGCCGCGUGUGUGAAGAAGGCCUUCGGGUUGUAAAGCACUUUCAGUGGGGAAGAAAGCCUUGGGGCUAAUACCCUCGAGGAAGGACAUCACCCACAGAAGAAGCACCGGCUAACUCCGUGCCAGCAGCCGCGGUAAUACGGAGGGUGCGAGCGUUAAUCGGAAUUACUGGGCGUAAAGCGCGCGUAGGCGGUCUGAUAAGCCGGUUGUGAAAGCCCCGGGCUCAACCUGGGAACGGCAGCCGGAACUGUCAGGCUAGAGUGCAGGAGAGGAAGGUAGAAUUCCCGGUGUAGCGGUGAAAUGCGUAGAGAUCGGGAGGAAUACCAGUGGCGAAAGCGGCCUUCUGGACUGACACUGACGCUGAGGUGCGAAAGCGUGGGUAGCAAACAGGAUUAGAUACCCUGGUAGUCCACGCCGUAAACGAUGUCGACUAGCCGUUGGGCUCCUUGAGAGCUUUGUGGCGCAGUUAACGCGAUAAGUCGACCGCCUGGGGAGUACGGCCGCAAGGUUAAAACUCAAAUGAAUUGACGGGGGCCCGCACAAGCGGUGGAGCAUGUGGUUUAAUUCGAUGCAACGCGAAGAACCUUACCUACCUUGACAUCGUGCGAACUUUCCAGAGAUGGAUUGUGCCUUCGGAACGCACAGAACAGUGCUGCAUGGCUGUCGUCAGCUCGGUUGUGAAUGUUUGGUAAGUCCGGUACGAGCGCACCCUUGUCUUAUUUGCAGCGGUCAUGGCUGACUCUAGGAACUGGCGGGAAAAACGAGAGGUGGGACACGUCAGUACAUGCCUUACGGUAGCUAACACGUCCUACAUGGCGGUUACAAGGGUUGCCAACUCGC
rnacentral:rRNA from 1 species